AGUGAACGCUGGCGGUAGGCCUAACACAUGCAAGUCGAACGGCAGCACAGAGGAGCUUGCUCCUUGGGUGGCGAGUGGCGGACGGGUGAGGAAUACAUCGGAAUCUACUCUGUCGUGGGGGAUAACGUAGGGAAACUUACGCUGAUACCGCAUACGACCUACGGGUGAAAGCGGGGGACCUUCGGGCCUUGCGCGAUUGAAUGAGCCGAUGUCGGAUUAGCUAGUUGGCGGGGUAAAGGCCCACCAAGGCGACGAUCCGUAGCUGGUCUGAUGGGAUGAUCAGCCACACUGGAACUGAGACACGGUCCAGACUCCUACGGGAGGCAUCGUUGCAGAAUAUUGGACAAUGGGCGAAAGCCUGAUCCAACCAUUCCGCGUGGGUGAAGAAGGCCUUCGGGUUGUAAAGCCCUUUUGUUGGGAAAGAAAUCCAGCUGGCUAAUACCCGGUUGGGAUGACGGUACCCAAAGAAUAAGCACCGGCUAACUUCGUGCCAGCCGCCGCCGUAA
rnacentral:rRNA from 1 species